rnacentral:rRNA from 1 species
AGAGUACGUGAAACCGUUCAGGGGUAAACCUGAGAAACCCGAAAGGUCGAAAGGGGAGAUUCAGCGUGUCUCGAUUGCGGCGCUGGAUGGUCGUGCGACGGAAGACGUACGCGUCAUCCGCACCUUCCGUCCUCCGAACCGUAGUCGAACGCGUGCACUUCUCCCCCUGUAGGACGUCGCGAUCCGUUGGGUGCCGGUCUAAGGCCCGCAGUGGAGCCCGUUCGGACGGUUCGCCGUUCCGGACGAACCUGCGGUGUUUCCCGGUCGGCUCGCUCGACGGUAUACAGAUGGCGCGGGGCCGCUACACAUUAGUUAGCGUCCGACCGGCGGCAAGCGCGCUCGUCGUGACGGUGAUCGGACCUGGUGCCGGUCCUGUCCCCGAGCGGCUGUUCGCUGCCGUGUUCUCGGACAGACCUCGUCGAAACGCCGAUCUGCGACGCUAUAGCUUUGGGUACUUUCAGGACCCGUCUUG